GGGGCUGUAUCUCAGUGGUAGAGCAUCUGCCUGGCUUGUAGGGGGUCCCUGGUUCAAUCUCCAGCAUCUCCA
rnacentral:tRNA from 1 species